rnacentral:rRNA from 1 species
GACGAACGCUGGCGGCGUGCUUAACACAUGCAAGUCGAGCGGUAAGGCCCUUUCGGGGGUACACGAGCGGCGAACGGGUGAGUAACACGUGGGUGACCUGCCUUUAGCUCUGGGAUAAGCCUGGGAAACUGGGUCUAAUACCGGAUAUGACUCCGCGGUGCAUGCUGUGGGGUGGAAAGCCUUGUGCGGCUGGAGAUGGGCCCGCGGCCUAUCAGUCUU